AUGCAGCUGAUGAGUCCUAGAUAGGACGAAACGCGCGUUCUGGAU
rnacentral:hammerhead_ribozyme from 1 species